rnacentral:rRNA from 1 species
AUUGAACGCUGGCGGCAUGCCUUACACAUGCAAGUCGAACGGUAACAGGUCUUCGGAUGCUGACGAGUGGCGAACGGGUGAGUAAUACAUCGGAACGUGCCCGAUCGUGGGGGAUAACGAAGCGAAAGCUUUGCUAAUACCGCAUAAGAUCUACGGAUGAAAGCAGGGGACCGCAAGGCCUUGCGCGAACGGAGCGGCCGAUGGCAGAUGAGGUAGUUGGUGGGGUAAAAGCUUACCAAGCCGACGAUCUGUAGCUGGUCUGAGAGGACGACCAGCCACACUGGGACUGGGACACGGCCCAGACUCCUACGGGAGGCAGCAGUGGGGAAUUUUGGACAAUGGGCGAAAGCCUGAUCCAGCAAUGCCGCGUGCAGGAUGAAGGCCUUCGGGUUGUAAACUGCUUUUGUACGGAACGAAAAGCCCUGGGUUAAUACCCUGGGGUCAUGACGGUACCGUAAGAAUAAGCACCGGCUAACUACGUGCCAGCCGCCGCCGUAACAC